rnacentral:rRNA from 1 species
GACGAACGCUGGCGGCGUGCUUAACACAUGCAAGUCGAACGGAAAGGCCCUGCUUUUGUGGGGUUCUCGAUUGGCGAACGGGUGAGUAACACGUGAGUAACCUGCCCUUGACUUUGGGAUAACUUCAGGAAACUGGGGCUAAUACCGGAUAGGAUCUCCUGCUGCAUGGUGGGGGUUGGAAAGUUUCGGCUGUUGGGGAUGGACUCGCGGCUUAUCAGCUUGUUGGUGGGGUAGUGGCUUACCAAGGCUUUGACGGGUAGCCGGCCUGAGAGGGUGACCGGCCACAUUGGGACUGAGAUACGGCCCAGACUCCUACGGGAGGCAGCAGUGGGGAAUAUUGCACAAUGGGCGGAAGCCUGAUGCAGCAACGCCGCGUGCGGGAUGACGGCCUUCGGGUUGUAAACCGCUUUCGCCUGUGACGAAGCGUGAGUGACGGUAAUGGGUAAAGAAGCACCGGCUAACUACGUG